UCAGAUUGGUGCCACCAGCAUCUUCUACUUAUCUCUCCUUCUCAUCUCACCAUGAAUAAGCUAGCUCCCAACCCUUUACAUUUUCAUCCAUGUUCUUCACAGUCUUCACCCUACCCCAACUGUUCCUCCUUCCCAUCUUAUCUUUAGCCUCCGGUGAGUGCACAUCCGACGUCCCUGAAGAAGACACCGGACAUGACAAAAGUAAAGCCCUUAGGCUCAGUUUGGAAAGAGUAUUCCAGUAGUAGCAUCCAUUCUGACUGCUAGUGCAAUUGGGGUGUGUAUUCGAGCCAUUCCGACUUCGCAUCCAGGGAGGAAUAUCUUCUUUAUGAUCAAGGCGUUUGCAAAAGGCGUUACUCUGGCAACUGAUCAGGCAAAUUAAAUUGAGAACCGAGCCACUGCAAUUAUGAUACAUUUUUUCUCCCUCACCAACCCAGUUGGAAUUGCAAUUGGUACGUAUAGAAUAACAAAUGUUUAUAACGAUCGAGAACAGCCCAACUGCUCUAAUUGUUGAAGGGAUUUUUGACUCUGCCACAGAAAGGAUCCUGAUUUACAUGGCGCAUUUGCUGAUAUGUUUGCAGCAGAUUUCAUGAAUCCAACGAUGCAACUUAAUGGAAAGCUUCAAAUAUUGGAAAAUGCUUCACUUCUACUAGAGGAUUUGAAAGGCAUGAGUGCAAUUUGUUUCGACUCUUCAAAAUAUGUGUACCCUUAGUGCACAAAACUUGUCCAUUUGAAAUGACAUUUUAUGUAUGAAUCCUCAUUGUCUUAAUGGUGAGACAUUUUAUGUCUGUCUUAGCUAAAUGAGCUUAAGGAUGUAGUCCAUCUUACAUACUGUCUUUUUAUGGAAAUUCCUAAUGUAAUAGAAAGUUUCACAUGUAAUUCUAUAUUGAAAUUGAAAAAGGGGUGUUUAGAUGACACUACAGGUAGGUGUGGGUAGUAGAUCUGAAUACUCCUUUUUCAAUUUCAAUAUAGAAUUACAUGUGAAACUUUCUAUUACAUUAGGAAUUUCCAUAAAAAACGAAAGUAUGUAAGAUAGACUACAUCCUUAAGCCCAUUUAGCUAAGACAGACAUAAAAUGUCUCACCAUUAAGACAAUGAGGAUUCAUACAUAAAAUGUCAUUUCAAAGGGACAAGUUUUGUACACUAGGGUACACAUUUUGAAAAGCCGAAACAAAUUGCAUUCAUGCCUUUCAAAUCACCCAGGCCUGGUUUGUUUGUAAUUUGAAUUUCAUUUGCACUAGUGUAAAUGUGGGAAAGUGCAAAUUCUGGUAUACUUUUGUUUCUGACUUCACUUUGUCCUGCUUGUUUUGGAGAAACGAAUAAAAUUUGGUCC